UGGAGUAUCGCAAUGUGCUCCUGUGGCAAGCAGUUGCCAGUGGUGAUGUCUCUGACUUCGUUUUGCACAAUCAGUCGCUUGAAUGCUGCGGCGAACUGUUGGGCACUAGGGUUGUCGUUGCACCGUCCAUGGGAUCUGAUAGCACCAAAGAAAAGUUCGAGAUGAUCUUGGCUCACCUUAUGAGAUGCCCAAGAAUCCAGUCUUCCGAUUGGUCUUCAGUAGUGGGAUGCCAUUUGGAUGUUCUCUCAGGCUGGACAGGGUGCUGGAAACUUGUCUUCAAAUUUUUGGGGUCACUGAAGUUGCACCCAAGCUGUCUAAACAUUGCGAAGUUUGACGGUGCCCCAUCACAAGUUAAGGAGACAACAGUCGCUCCCACUUCAUGGGCAAGGACAAGACUGCGUUGUACUAGGUCAGCCCUUUGUUCACCGCCAAGUCCAUCAACAAGAAAAUAGCCCAACGGGACCUUCCACCUUCC